rnacentral:rRNA from 1 species
UACAGAGGUCUCAAGCGUUGUUCGGAUUCAUUGGGCGUAAAGGGUGCGUAGGCGGCGCGGUAAGUCGGGUGUGAAAUCUCGGGAGCUUAACUCCGAAACUGCAUUCGAUACUGCCGUGCUUGAGGACUGGAGAGGAGACUGGAAUUUACGGUGUAGCGGUGAAAUGCGUAGAUAUCGUAAGGAAGACCAGGUGGCGAAGGCGGGUCUCUGGACAGUUCCUGACGCUGAGGCGCGAAAGCCAGGGGAGCAAACGGG